rnacentral:rRNA from 1 species
CCUACGGGAGGCAGCAGUGAGGAAUAUUGGUCAAUGGGCGCGAGCCUGAACCAGCCAAGUAGCGUGAAGGAUGACUGCCCUACGGGUUGUAAACUUCUUUUAUAAAGGAAUAAAGUGAUGCACGUGUGCCUUUUUGUAUGUACUUUAUGAAUAAGGAUCGGCUAACUUCGUGCCAGCACACGCGGUAAUACGGAGGGUCCGAUCGUUAUCCGGAUUUAUUGGGUUUAAAGGGAGCGUAGAUGGGUUGUUAAGUCAGUUGUGAAAGUGUGCGGCUCAACCGUACAAUUGCACUUGAUACUGGCAGGCUUGAGUACAGUUGAGGGAGGCGGAAUUCGUGGUGUAGCGGUGAAAUGCUUAGAUAUCACGAAGAACUCCGAUUGCGAAGGCAGCCUACUAAACUGCCACUGACAUUGAUGCUCGAAAGUGUGGGUAUCAAACAGGAUUAGAUACCCUAGUAGUC